rnacentral:rRNA from 1 species
UACGUAGGGUGCAAGCGUUGUCCGGAAUUAUUGGGCGUAAAGAGCUCGUAGGCGGUUUGUUGCGUCGGCUGUGAAGACCUGAGGCCUCACCUCAGGCCUGCAGUCGAUACGAGCAGACUAGAGUGUUGCAGGGGAGACUGGAAUUCCUGGUGUAGCGGUGAAAUGCGCAGAUAUCAGGAGGAACACCGGUGGCGGAAGGCGGGUCUCUGGGCAACAACUGACGCUGGAGGAGCGAAAGCCGUGGGGAGCGAACAGG